CUGCCAACUCCUGGGCCGCCGUCGGCCGAUCCCCUUUAACCUGGGAGAGAGCUUUCACUUUGCUCAAUUGAACCUGUGUCUGGGUCAGUCCCGGCAAGCUCCUUCCUCUCCUUCAAAUACGCAUUGGAUUAACCCAGCUGGAACAAAGCCUGGGACACAGAAUGGGCUCUGUGGGGGCCUUCCAGACUAGGUAAAUAAAGUAGCUAACAGACACCCCCAUACAUCCCAGUGUCUCCAGACCCCUCCAGGAAUCCCAUAAGUCAUCCUCCACAAACUGCCCGGUUUCCCCAGUCACUCAGCUCUAGGUAUGAGGAAAGUCACUGUUCUAGAUGCUGAGAAUACGAUAGAGAACAAAACAGACAGAAAUAUGUGUUCAUGGAACUUAUAUCCUGAAUGAGUGAAUAUACAGCACCUAUUGCUCUGUAUCACAGCCAGAAGAGACCGUCUCCCCCAACCUUGACACUCCGUGGACUGGCACAUAGUGAAGCAGCCCAAACUGAUCAAGACAGGGACUAGCAGCUUCUACUUCUAUUUCUUGGAAUAUUGGCUCUUAGACCCUUGAGCCACCAUGUGAGAGGACUGACUGACCUGCUGGAGAGGCCACAUCGAGAAGCCCAUGGACUACAUGGAGAAAAGGGGGCCUGGCUGAAGCCAGCCUUCCAGCAACCCCUGCCGAAGGCCCAAGCCCGUGAGUAAAACCAUCUUGGAUGUUCAAGAGCAUCCCCGACAUGGGCUGAACAUUACCAAGUGACCCUAGUCACUGCCACAUGGAGCAGAAGGAUCAUCCAGCUGAGUCUUGCCCAAUAUAAUCUUGAAGUAUAAUAAGAGAGCUAUUAAGCCACUAUGUUGGUUUGAUUUUUUAACUUUGCAUUUUGGCAUAAUCUUUGACUUACAGAAAAAUUGCAAAAGUAGUGAAGAGAGUUCCCACAUUCUUUGCAUCCAUGUUCCCCAAAUGUUGAUAUCUUACAUAAUCCAAGUACAUU